rnacentral:tRNA from 3 species
GGGAACGUAGCUCAGCUGGUAGAGCAGCGGACUCUUAAUCCGUCGGUCCAGGGUUCGAAUCCCUGCGUUCCCACCA